UACGGAGGGGGCUAGCGUUGUUCGGAAUUACUGGGCGUAAAGCGCACGUAGGCGGCUUUGUAAGUUAGAGGUGAAAGCCCGGGGCUCAACUCCGGAAUUGCCUUUAAGACUGCAUCGCUAGAAUUGUGGAGAGGUAAGUGGAAUUCCGAGUGUAGAGGUGAAAUUCGUAGAUAUUCGGAAGAACACCAGUGGCGAAGGCGGCUCACUGGCCCGAUACUGACGCUGAGGUGCGAAAGCGUGGGGAGCAAACAGG
rnacentral:rRNA from 1 species